UCAUCGUUCUGUGGUUCUGACUCUUAAAACAAGCAGAAAUUGGAGGACAGCCAUGAUAAAACCAACUCUACCAAAAAUCUCAUAAAUACUUGAAAGGAAGCCACAAAGAAGAUAGAGCCUGGCUCUUGUCAGCAGCACCCAGUGACAGGAGGAGAGGCAAUGCGCACAACCUGGAAUAUCAGAAACUAAAUGUAAACACAGGAAAAACUUCUGAUGUCAGACACUGCUACUUGCUGGAUGGUAUCCUUGGAGAUAUCCAGAACUUUGGGUACUAAUCCGCCCUGGUCAGUCUUCUGUAGCCAACCCUGCAUUGAACUGGAUGAUCUCACGGGAUACCUCCCCACUUCAACUAUUCAUUGAUGCUGUGAAAGGGAGAGGAGUGGACCAACGAGUGAGACAAUUGUAAAUAAAAUACUUGAAACUGGAGAUUGAAGCUACAAGCAGAGAAACAGAUUGGUUGUUAUAAACCGCUCAGGCAGAAAGAUGAGUUUAUCACCUGCACUAUUUCCUUUGCUGGUAAGAAGUGAGGGAUUGGACUCCUCUCAAAACCUGGCCUUCAGCAUGCAUUAAAACAAAUGCUCAAAGAGCUGCAGAUGAAAUUUUCACCUGGAACGAAGGAUAGAGAUGAGGAAAGAAACAGUAUGAAAAGCUUGUUGUUCUGCACACAAUCUCAGAUCUUACUGGAGGAAACAAGCCCAUCAGCAGAGAAUGGUAUGCUCAAGCAGUACAGUCCAUUAACAGAGCCAAAACAGGCAGAUAAUUAGUGCACAGUAGUUCCCUAUUAAGUCUUGAUUCCAGUAAUGCCUUCCCAGAGUUCCAUUAAAGGAUCACACAAGAGCUUGCAAAUAUGUGGAUUGCUUGUCCUUCAGAGCAGUAAGGACCACAGUAUUUGUAGCACUACUAAUAGCUCUCAAAGUAUGUUGUUUGUUUGGGUUUUUUUUUUUUAAGCAUAAGAGCCCUUCCCUAAGCAGUGUUGGGGGAACUAAGAACUGUAAGCUUACGUAUGGGGUAACAACUAUUCUAAGUGUAGGAUUUUAUUCUCAUCCUGUAGAAGAGUCUCAGGCAUUAUAAUAACUGAUGACUAUGCUGUAGGUUCACUACAUAUCAAAUUCACCUAGGCUUCUUGUGACCUUUAUGCACACAAAGACAAAUCCCACCACCCUCACCAUAAAGAAGCUGAGCUUACCUUAGCAAAGAUGCAC